CGGCGGACGGGUGCGUAAUGUAUGGGGAUCUGCCCGAUAGGGGGGAAUAACUACUGGAAACGGUGGCUAAUACCGCAUAAUGUCUACGGACCAAAGCAGGGGCUCUUCGGACCUUGCACUAUCGGAUGAACCCAUAUGGGAUUAGCUAGUUGGUGAGGUAACGGCCCACCAAGGCGACGAUCCAUAGCCGACCUGAGAGGGUGACCGGCCACAUUGGGACUGAGACACGGCCCAA
rnacentral:rRNA from 1 species